GGAAGUGGGAUGACGUCAAGUCCUCAUGGCCCUUAUAGGUGGGGCUACACACGUCAUACAAUGGCUGGUACAAAGGGUUGCCAACCCGCGAGGGGGAGCCAAUCCCAUAAAGCCAGUCGUAGUCCGGAUCGUAGUCUGCAACUCGACUACGUGAAGUCGGAAUCGCUAGUAAUCGUGGAUCAGAAUGUCACGGUGAAUACGUUCCCGGGUCUU
rnacentral:rRNA from 1 species